ensembl:lncRNA
CUCUCCUUUGUGUCACUUCCUGCCUUGUGCCCUGAUCAUUUUCUUUUUUCACUUUUUCACAUUUGUUUUUUUUAGAAAUGAUACUUUAAGUAUUAACUUUCAUGUAGUUUCAUUCACAUCAUCUAAAUGUUCUACUGUACUACUAGUAUCAGUGACCAUCACAAUAAUGUUAAUAAUGUAGUUUAUCAUUUAGUUUAUUUGAGAGCACAAAAACAAUAUACACUUUGGAAAUGCUAGUUAUGUGAUGUUCAUUUAUAUAUUUCAACAUUACACAAUACCAGUCAAUACCAGUUUGCUAAAGCAGAAAUAUUGUUACUAUUUAAAAUAACUGCUUUCUAUUUGAAUAUAUUUUACAAUUUAAUUUAUUCCUGUGAUCAAAUCUAAAUUUUCAGCAUCCAGUCUUGCUGUUCUUUCAAUUUAUCAAAAAACCUGAAAAAAUAUUCUCAGCUCUUUUCAACAUUAAUAAUAAUAAUAAUAAUAAUAAUAAUAAUAAUAAUAAUAAUAAUAACAACAUUAAAGGUUUUUUUUUUUUUUGUAGAAAAUAAGAAUAUUAGAAUGAUCUCUGAAGGAUCGUGUGACUGGAGUAAUGAUGCUAAAAUUUCAGAUUUGAAAGUCAGCUUUGAUUGUUCCUAAUAAACUGUUUAACUGCACUCACAAGUGAAUCUCAAGUUAUUUUGUGGGAUAAUUAAAUAUAUUAUAAAUAAACUACUAUUUAUUUUGUCCUCACAUUCUUUCUUGUAACUCUUCCCUCUCAGUCACUCACCUGGCUGAAAGGCUCAUUAUGCAGCUCAUUAUGUGGGUCUUUGUCUUCUCAGGUGUGAAUCACACAAAUAUUCAUGAUAGUUGACGCCUACUCGCAUAUGACUUUUACCAACAAAAAGUGUCUUAGAAAAUUUAAAUUUUAUGUUUGUAGUUUAUUUAGAAUAUAUUUAAUUAUCCCACAACAUAAUUUAAUAUUCACUUGUGAGUGCAGUUAAACAGUUUAUUAGGAAAAAUCAAAGCUGACUUUCAAACUGAAUUUUUUGCAUCAUUACUCCAGUCACAUUGUUAUUAUUAUCAUCAUCAUUAUUAUUAUUAUUAUUAUUAUUAUUAUUAUUAUUAUUAUUAUUAAUGUUGAAAAGAGCUGAGAAUAUUUUUUUUUAGGUUUUUUAGGGGGGAUAAAUUGAAAGAACAGCAAUGAUUGUUACAUUUGUUACAGUUACAUUUAUUGUUACAUUUAUAUUAUUUACAUCAAGCUUUUGAAUGGUAUAGUAGUGUAUAUUGUUAUUGAAACUUCAUAAUAUUUCACUUGAUUAUACAUUUAGUCAGGAAUUAUAGUUUGGAAAAAAAGUCUUUGGAAAAAAAGUCUAACUAGUAAAAAUGUUUACACGUUAUGUGAAAACUAGUACAAGUAUAUAAAUAAAUAAAAAAAGAGACUUACUCAUGUUUAUGAUCUCUGCUGAAUAAAGUGCUUCAUUCUUUUUUCUGAGGAAAUCCAAAUCUCAAAUCCUCAACCACAUCACAUCUUUUUGGGGUGAAUUAUGUCUUAUUCCUCUCAUCGCGAAGCAAACAGUAAAAUAAUAAAAACUUGAAGAACAGUCUCUCUGCGUUGUCUUCUGUUGUGUGGGCGUAUUCAAAAGCCGCGCGCUUCAGUGAAACAUUUGAAUCUCAAAAGCGCGCUCGGCGUGGGGGCGUGGUCGCAUUAGAAGAUAAUGAAGGGAGACGUGAAAAACGGACAUCGCGUUGUUUUCAUAUGGAUUACUUUAUCACAGAAUAUUUGUUUUCGGCAGCACUUGUUUAGUUUAAAAGUAGACAUGUCAGGCUUUCUAUAGAUAUCUCUCUCAUGUCUCUUCGUUGAGUAUUCACUGAGUUACAGUUCAUUUUAAUGACGCAUUUGUAUCUGAAGAUCAGCGCAGACAAAGGCUGCAGACAGCACUCCUUGUUUGUUAUCUUUAUUUUAUAAGUGCACAAAGUUUUGUUGUUAUUAUGUCUGUAUACAAAAAAAGUAGACCCUUUACAGAUUCAAUUGGUGUAUUGCACUUAUCUGUACAAUCAAAACUGAAAGUGUAAUUUAAGUUCUUUUCAGGGUUAUCAGGAGAAAAUACCCUAAAACGCGUAUACGCGUUAAUCAACUUCAGAGGGUUAACUCAGUGAUUCAAGAAAACCAAUAUUUUUUGUUUGCCCGUCUAUUUUAUAACUCCAUUACAACAGCCAAGCAAAAUCUGACUUUAAAAUAUUAAGGGUCAAGAGCCCAACUAAAGCAAACACUGACCACUAUAAUGGUGACAUUAAAAUAGUGAUUUUCGUCUUUGUUGAUUCUGCUCGUUAACAUCAGGUCUCGUCAAUAAUGGUCAAUCAUCACUCAGUUAAUCACUUAAUUAUCUCAUUAACUUUAACUCUGAUUCAGUGUUAAUUUAACACUCCUAUUUUAACACUUUCACACUCUUGAGUGUGGUCUCACAUGUACUCCCAGCAGAGUUAAUUUCACUCUGGAUUUUUUGCUGUGUGCUGUCCAACAAUACAUUGCUAUUAAACACAUCCAAAAUAAAUGUUUUUGUUUUAUAUAUUAUAUUUUAUAUAUUAUAUAUAAAUGAUAUAAUUAUAUAUAUUUUAU